UGGGGAAUAUUGGACAAUGGGCGAAAGCCUGAUCCAGCCAUGCCGCGUGUGUGAAGAAGGUCUUCGGAUUGUAAAGCACUUUAAGUUGGGAGGAAGGGCAGUAAGCGAAUACCUUGCUGUUUUGACGUUACCGACAGAAUAAGCACCGGCUAACUCUGUGCCAGCAGCCGCGGUAAUACAGAGGGUGCAAGCGUUAAUCGGAAUUACUGGGCGUAUAGCGCGCGUAGGUGGUUCGUUAAGUUGAAUGUGAAAGCCCCGGGCUCAACCUGGGAACUGCAUUCAAAACUGGCGAGCUAGAGUAGGGCAGAUGGUGGUGGAAUUUCCUGUGUAGCGGUGAAAUGCGUAGAUAUAGGAAGGAACACCAGUGGCGAAGGCGACCACCUGGGCUCAUACUGACACUGAGGUGCGAAAGCGUGGGGAGCAAACAGG
rnacentral:rRNA from 1 species